GACGAACGCUGGCGGCGUGCUUAACACAUGCAAGUCGAACGGUGAAGGGGUCUGCUUUUGUGGGCCCUGGAUGAGUGGCGAACGGGUGAGUAACACGUGAGUAACCUGCCCCCUUCUUCUGGAUAACCGCAUGAAAGUGUGGCUAAUACGGGAUAUUCUGGGUCUGUCGCAUGAUGGGUCUGGGAAAGAUUGCGCCUUUGGGUGUUGUUGGUGGGGGAUGGGCUCGCGGCCUAUCAGCUUGUUGGUGGGGUGAUGGCCUACCAAGGCGGUGACGGGUAGCCGGCCUGAGAGGGUGGACGGUCACACUGGGACUGAGACACGGCCCAGACUCCUACGGGAGGCAGCAGUGGGGAAUAUUGCACAAUGGGCGCAAGCCUGAUGCAGCGACGCCGCGUGAGGGAUGGAGGCCUUCGGGUUGUAAACCUCUUUCGCCAGUGAAGCAGGCCUGCUCCCUGUGGGUGGGUUGACGGUAGCUGGAUAAGAAGCGCCGGCUAACUACGUG
rnacentral:rRNA from 1 species